UACAGAGGUCCCGAGCGUUGUUCGGAUUCACUGGGCGUAAAGGGUGCGUAGGUGGCUUGAAAGGUUUGAUGUGAAAGCUCAGGGCUUAACCCUGAAAUGGCAUUGAAUACUGUCGGGCUGGAGGUUUGGAGGGGGGACUGGAAUUCUUGGUGUAGCAGUGAAAUGCGUAGAUAUCGUAAGGAAGACCAGUGGCGAAGGCGGGUCUCUGGACAGUUCCUGACGCUGAGGCACGAAGGCCAGGGGAGCAAACGGG
rnacentral:rRNA from 1 species